rnacentral:lncRNA from 1 species
AUUGUAGAUGGCGUUCGUCGAGUAUUAUGUAGAUUGAUUAUCGUCUGUUUCACGUAGAUUUGUUUAACGAAAGUCUCUAACAUUAAUAGAAGUACAUAGAUGAAGAGAGAAAAGAAAACGGAAAAAUAAUUUUUAAACAUAAAAGUAAUGGAGUUUGAAAGACAAUAAAAAAAUGAAAAAGCACACACGGUGGAUUAUAAAAUGACUCCUCGGGGAUCGCUACAUACCUGAGAAGGGAUGGAAGAUUUAUUCUCCGAGAAGAAGGAAAUUCUCUAUAGUGUUUGGACUUCGUACUGAGAUGGUGCCACUAAUGGGAAAGCAAGAACGAAAUGAAAUUUGCAUAAUCUAUUUAUUUUUGAAUAAUAAAGUAUGAAAAAAAAGAG